rnacentral:lncRNA from 1 species
GUAGUAUAUUGUGGGUAUAUACUUGUGGAUUGAGAGAACACAAAAAAGGCUGAGGCAUCAUCUUCUUCUGUGACUCUGAGGAUCAAAGGCAUUUUCUUGUAUUUCUUGAACAAAGAUUUGUGGAGGACCUACUCUGUGCAGACAUUAUUAGACAAUAAAGGAAGCCAAGACUCUCAGGCCCUUUGCCCUUGCUUCUCAGAAAAGAACAGCUAACCAUUGCCAACCAGAAGGCACAGAAACUGAACCACUUCUGUGUCUGCAAUUGUGAUCUUGGACAAAUUACCUAAACUGCUUGGGUUGAGAUAUGUGAAUUCAGAUAUUGAAGCUUAUUUAUACAUUCAUAAUUCUAUGCUUCCAUAAUGAUUAAAUCCACCAUAGUAAUAAAUAAAGGCCUUAAGCACA